AAUGCUUUGCUGAAGCUGGUAAAAUGGAACCAAAUCAACUGUUCAAUGGAUUUGGUCCCCUUCAACCAGCUGUAGCUGCGCAUUGAU
rfam:Fukomys damarensis contig74236, whole genome shotgun sequence.